CAGACAUGUAAAAAUCUGAACCGCCCGUGCUUUUCUGCUAUCCAGUUCUCGCAAAUGAAGAGGCUCGUUUACGGAGCCAAAGCAGAAGCUGCCAUGGCCUUUGGAUUUGGAUCUAUUUCAAAUGCUCUAAGAGGUACUGCUUUGUAUCAGAAGGCUGACUUGGAGAUAAAGAGAGCUGAUGGUAAUGUGGCUAUUAUUGCAGAACAAUUGUUUGAGAAUACAAAAUAUAAGUUUCCUAGUCAUUCAAGAAAUGUAUAUUCUAAGUAAAUGAACAUUGGGAUUUGUUUGUGGAAAUGUAAUAUUUGUGAAGUGUGGCUCAGGAUGCUGUGUUUUCUUUCAUUAACUAGCAUAAUGAAAUAAUAUUGGGUGUACU